GGUGCCAUAGCUCAGUUGGUAGAGCAAAGGACUGAAAAUCCUUGUGUCCCCGGUUCGAUUCAUGGUGGCACCA
rnacentral:tRNA from 1 species